UACGUAGGGGGCUAGCGUUGUCCGGAAUCAUUGGGCGUAAAGCGCGCGUAGGCGGCCAGAUAAGUCCGGUGUGAAAGUCACAGGCUCAACCUGUGAAUGCCGCUGGAAACUGUCUGGCUUGAGUCCGGAAGGGGCGAGUGGAAUUCCUGGUGUAGCGGUGAAAUGCGUAGAUAUCAGGAGGAACACCGGUGGCGAAGGCGGUUCUCUGGGCCUGUACUGACGCUGAGGAACGAAAGCGUGGGGAGCGAACAGG
rnacentral:rRNA from 1 species